rnacentral:rRNA from 1 species
CACGGGGGGAGCAAGCGUUGUUCGGAAUCACUGGGCGUAAAGGGCGUGUAGGCGGUCAGGUAAGUGGAAUGUGAAAGCCCUCGGCUCACCCGAGGAUCUGCAUUCCAAACUGCCUGGCUUGAGUAUGGGAGAGGAUGAGGGAAUUCCUGGUGUAGCGGUGAAAUGCGUAGAUAUCAGGAGGAACACCGGUGGCGAAGGCGCUCAUCUGGCCCAAUACUGACGCUGAGGUGCGAAAGCGUGGGGAGCAAACAGG